AUUGAACGCUGGCGGCAUGCCUUACACAUGCAAGUCGAACGGCAGCACGGACUUCGGUCUGGUGGCGAGUGGCGAACGGGUGAGUAACAUAUCGGAACAUACCCUAGAGUGGGGGAUAACGUAGCGAAAGUUACGCUAAUACCGCAUACGAUCUAAGGAUGAAAGUGGGGGAUCUUCGGACCUCAUGCUCAUGGAGUGGCCGAUAUCUGAUUAGCUAGUUGGUGAGGUAAAGGCUCACCAAAGGCGACGAUCAGUAGCUGGUUUGAGAGAACGACCAGCCACACUGGAACUGAGACACGGUCCCAGACUCCUACGGAGGCAGCAGUGGGGAAUUUUGGACAAAUGGGGGCAACCCUGAUCCAGCAAUGCGCGUGAGUGAAGAAGGCUCGGUUGUAAGA
rnacentral:rRNA from 1 species